CCUACGGGAGGCAGGGGUGGGGAAUAUUGGACAAUGGGGGCAACCCUGAUCCAGCCAUGCCGCGUGUGUGAAGAAGGCCCUCGGGUUGUAAAGCACUUUCAGUGAGGAAGAACGCCUGGUGGUUAAUACCCAUCAGGAAAGACAUCACUCACAGAAGAAGCACCGGCUAACUCCGUGCCAGCAGCCGCGGUAAUACGGAGGGUGCGAGCGUUAAUCGGAAUUACUGGGCGUAAAGCGCGCGUAGGUGGCUUGAUAAGCCGGUUGUGAAAGCCCCGGGCUCAACCUGGGAACGGCAUCCGGAACUGUCAAGCUAGAGUGCAGGAGAGGAAGGUAGAAUUCCCGGUGUAGCGGUGAAAUGCGUAGAGAUCGGGAGGAAUACCAGUGGCGAAGGCGGCCUUCUGGACUGACACUGACACUGAGGUGCGAAAGCGUGGGUAGCAAACAGGAUUAGAUACCCCGGUAGUC
rnacentral:rRNA from 1 species